rnacentral:lncRNA from 1 species
UUCCUCUCGUACCUGGCGGCUUGCCGUGGGGCCAAGACCCGCUUACUUCGCCUCCUCAUCGAUUCGUUACCGUUACGCCUGUGCGUGACGAUCUCAUCGUCCCGCCGUUACACCUGCCGCUGGUACGUUUGGUUUGUUUUCAAUGGAUGUCCGACCACUUAGUGCGUCCUACGCCUCGGCUAUACUAUCACCGCAGGUCUUUACUGGUAAUUCUCUCCCUG